CUGACCAAAUGAAGCACUUCUUGCCCUCUUGUUGUCCCUUGUUUACCUUUCUCCACCCCAUGUGGAAACUGCGAUACCUCCACAAUCGCGGCAGGAGCCUCCGCCUUCUGGCUGAAGUCGAGAUGCAGCCACCCAGUCCCAGGCGGCGCUGCCGUAUCCAUGUUGCAAUGCCACUGCUGGCGUUGUGUUGUGUGGCCACAGUGACAUGAGGGUGGACUUCAGGCUCACCAGAGUCAUUCAACGCCCUCAUGGCUGUGCUGGCCACUGACUGACCACGGUUGGGGCCCCGAGAUCUCCUGUCUAGUUUUUAUUUUUUGGCUUGCCAGCGCCACCUCCUAUCGGGUGGUGGCCAGGGCCUUCGACAGGCCCCGGGCUCAGUGCAUGAUGCCA